UUGAAAUUAAUUCUGACACAGGAAGCAAAAGUGGAAGUGAAAAACUAAUAAAGAGAUGACUACAGCAUUCCACGUGAGAGAUGAAGUUGAUGUGGACCAGGACAAAUGGUGGAAGUGGUGGGAGGUGUAAGAUACCAAAUAUACUUUGAAGGUGCGUGGGUGCGGAGAAAGAAAAGAGAGCAAACAUUCGAGCCUGCUGCCAUCUAAGGCUACCCAGAGAGAGACACAUCAGAGGGGGUCCACCUUCCAUGCGGUCCAGCCCAGCAUUCCAGAUUUCUCUGCAUUGGGAUUGAAGGCUAAAACUCUGGCUAAUAAUAAAGUGUAAUGUCCAUUCA